AAGGAGUUAGUUAAAUUAAUAUAACAUUAGAGUGUCAAUCUAAAAUUACUAAUAAACUAGUACACCUUG
rnacentral:tRNA from 1 species